AAUGAACGCUGGCGGCAUGCCUAACACAUGCAAGUCGAGCGGGGUUUUCGGACCUAGCGGCGGACGGGUGAGUAAUGCGUAGGAAGCUACCCGAUAGAGGGGGAUACCAGUUGGAAACGACUGUUAAUACCGCAUAAUGUCUACGGACCAAAGUGUGGGACCUUCGGGCCACAUGCUAUCGGAUGCGCCUACGUGGGAUUAGCUAGUUGGUGAGGUAAUGGCUCACCAAGGCGACGAUCCCUAGCUGGUUUGAGAGGAUGAUCAGCCACACUGGAACUGAGACACGGUCCAGACUCCUACGGGAGGCAGCAGUGGGGAAUAUUGGACAAUGGGCGCAAGCCUGAUCCAGCCAUGCCGCGUGUGUGAAGAAGGCCUUCGGGUUGUAAAGCACUUUCAGUAGGGAGGAAGAGUUGAGUGUUAAUAGUACUCAGCUUUGACGUUACCUACAGAAGAAGCACCGGCUAACUCUGUGCCAGCCGCCGCGGUAAAAC
rnacentral:rRNA from 1 species